AUCAUGCAUCAGUGAUUUUUGUUUUUGUUUAAUUUUCAAAAGAUUUAAUCACAUUCUGUUCUAUUUUCAGCAGAUACUUUAAUACCUGGUAAUAAGAAUGGAUGAAAAAAUUCUCACAUUAUCAUGCUGCAUAAUAGUACAUUUCAGCUGUAACAAAACACAUUAUCUGAUGAAAGCUUCAACCACGAGAAUGUAGGAAAGGAUGUCAAGUCCAAAGAGAAGGCCAUAUAACAAAUGAAUUCAUGAAGACUAGCUGGGAUGAUACAGUACUUUUCUACUCAUAUGAACCAUAUCUAAACAUUAUUUGAGGAUCCCUUUCUCAGAAAAAAAGAAUUUGCAUAUUCAAAGACUCUAUAGCUUAUUGUUUAUUUGUACGUUGUUUAACAUUCUUCUUGAGAAAUUUUCACUCAUAUGGGGAUACAAACAUUUGUUGUUGGAGAGCUGCAAAUUUUGUCCUUUAUUUGGCACACAUGGCUAAUUGAGCAUUAUGAGCAAUGAGGGAUCUUUUUGGUACUAGCACCUACUGCAACACAGGACCUCUGUAUAUACAGUCUCAUCUAUGUCCGACUGUGGGAUUUCGAACCAGCAAUUUAUGGAU